GCAUAUCAAUAAGCGGAGGAAAAGAAACCAACAGGGAUUGCCCCAGUAACGGCGAGUGAAGCGGCAACAGCUCAAAUUUGAAAUCUGGCUUCGGCCCGAGUUGUAAUUUGCAGAGGAUGUUUAUGGUGCGGUACCUUCCGAGUUCCCUGGAACGGGACGCCACAGAGGGUGAGAGCCCCGUCUGGUUGGAUACCAAACCUGUGUUAAACUCCUUCAACGAGUCGAGUAGUUUGGGAAUGCUGCUCUAAAUGGGAGGUAAAUCUCUUCUAAAGCUAAAUACCGGCCAGAGACCGAUAGCGCACAAGUAGAGUGAUCGAAAGAUGAAAAGCACCUUGAAAAGGGGGUUAAACAGUACGUGAAAUUGUUGAAAGGGAAGCGUUUAUGACCAGACUUGUGUCGUGUGGCUCAUCCGAGGUUCUCCCCGGUGCACUCCACACGGCUCAGGCCAACAUCGGUUCUCGUCGGGGGAUAAGAACAGUAGGAACGUGGCCCCCCUCGGGGGGUGUUAUAGCCUACUGUACGAUACCUUGAUGGGGACCGAGGACCGCGCUUCGGCUAGGAUGUUGGCGUAAUGGUCAUUAGCGACCCGUCUUGAAACACGGACCAAGGAGUCGUCCAUUAGAGCGAGCGUUUGGGUGUAAAACCCGCACGCGUAAUGAAAGUGAAAUUAGGUGAGAGCUUCGGCGCAUCAUCGACCGAUCCUGAAGUUUACGGAUGGAUUUGAGUAAGAGUUUUAACGGACGGACCCGAAAGACAGUGAACUAUGCUUGAAUAGGGUGAAGCCAGAGGAAACUCUGGUGGAGGCUCGCAGCGGUUCUGACGUGCAAAUCGAUCGUCAAAUUUGAGCAUGGGGGGCGAAAGACUAAUCGAACUGUCUAGUAGCUGGUUACCGCCGA
rnacentral:rRNA from 1 species